GACAGAGGGUGCAACCGUUGUUCGGAAUUACUGGGCGUAAAGCGCGUGUAGGCUGCUCAGAAAGUCGGAUGUGAAAGCCCUGGGCUCAACCUAGGAAGUGCAUUCGAAACUUCUGAGCUGGAGUUCUGGAGAGGAAGGCGGAAUUCUCGGUGUAGAGGUGAAAUUCGUAGAUAUCGAGAGGAACACCGGUGGCGAAGGCGGCCUUCUGGACAGUGACUGACGCUGAGACGCGAAAGCGUGGGGAGCGAACAGG
rnacentral:rRNA from 1 species